rnacentral:lncRNA from 12 species
AUGCUGUCCCUCCGUCCCCUCUCUGGAGUCCCUGAGUUUAUCCGCUCUUCCUCCCUGUUACCUGCUGUUCCUUAUUCUCCGAUAUCUUGGCGGCCUGAUCCUCCUGCAGUGUGCUCCUCCGACAGCGCGCUCCUCCAUCCCGGGCCAAGGCAAACACUCCGUGACCGAGGGCCCUGGCUUCUAGCUGCUCCCCGGUCGUCCUACCCUGUCACCAUUCUAGACUUUCAAAUGGCUCCUCGGCAUCUACUGGUUAAAAGACCAGUGCCCCACCAGGUCAGUGAGUGCAUCCCAGAACUCAGGCAACAGUUACUCCCAAUCUCCUCAAUCCACAGUCUUCCUCACAACGACUGGCUCCCAGGAAACCAAUGCUUUGUGGCCCUUGAAGUCAGAGAGGGAUGUAGCACUCACGAGUCAUGGACUGCCAGCAGGAGCACACUGCCCUGAGGAGAUUUUGGAAGUAAACUCCAGUUUGAAGAUAAAAUGGGG